CAAUAGCGUAUAUUAAAGUUGUUGCAGUUAAAAAGCUCGUAGUUGGAUUUCGGGGCAGCCUGGCUGGUCCGCCGCAAGGCGAGUACUGGUCAGCCGCCCUUCCUCUCGAAAGCCCCGACUGCUCUUUAUUGCAGUGGUCAGGUAGUUCGGGACGUUUACUUUGAAAAAAUUAGAGUGUUCAAGGCAGGCCUACGCCUGAAUACAUUAGCAUGGAAUAAUGGAAGAGGACCUCGGUCCUAUUUUGUUGGUUUCCAGGACCGAAGUAAUGAUUAAGAGGGACAGUUGGGGGCAUUCGUAUUUAAUUGUCAGAGGUGAAAUUCUCGGAUUUAUGAAAGACGAACAACUGCGAAAGCAUUUGCCAAGGAUGUUUUCAUUAA
rnacentral:rRNA from 1 species